rnacentral:rRNA from 1 species
GACGAACGCUGGCGGCGUGCCUAACACAUGCAAGUCGAACGGAACUGUUUUGAAAGCUUUCUUCGGAAUGAAUUUGAUUUAGUUUAGUGGCGGACGGGUGAGUAACGCGUGAGUAACCUGCCUUCAAGAGGGGAAUAACAUUCUGAAAAGAAUGCUAAUACCGCAUGACAUAUCGGAACCACAUGGUUUUGAUAUCAAAGAUUUUAUCGCUUGAAGAUGGACUCGCGUCCGAUUAGUUAGUUGGUGAGGUAACGGCUCACCAAGACCGCGAUCGGUAGCCGGACUGAGAGGUUGAACGGCCACAUUGGGACUGAGACACGGCCCAGACUCCUACGGGAGGCAGCAGUGGGGGAUAUUGCGCAAUGGGGGCAACCCUGACGCAGCAACGCCGCGUGAAGGAGGAAGGUUUUCGGAUUGUAAACUUCUUUUAUUAAGGACGAAAAAUGACGGUACUUAAUGAAUAAGCUCCGGCUAACUACGUG